rnacentral:misc_RNA from 1 species
AAGUCGUAACAAGGUUUCCGUAGGUGAACCUGCGGAAGGAUCAUUAGCGAAGUUCGGAAUGCCGGUUCGGUGCUGCAGCUGCCCAGUGAUGGGAUGUGCUCGUCCGGGCCGGUGUCCCUUCUCUAUUCCACCCCACUGUGAACCAAGCGUGCGAGCAGAAGAGAGAUCGGAAGCUCGCAUGCACACUUUAACAUACCCCUUAUUGAAGUAUCUGAAUGUACCUUGCGUUAACUCGCACAAAUACAACUUUCAACAACGGAUCUCUUGGCUCUC